UACGGAGGGUGCAAGCGUUAUCCGGAUUUACUGGGUUUAAAGGGUGUGUAGGCGGGUCUUUAAGUCAGUGGUGAAAUCUCCGAGCUCAACUUGGAAACUGCCAUUGAUACUAUUGAUCUUGAAUUCUGUUGAGGUGGGCGGAAUAAGUCAUGUAGCGGUGAAAUGCAUAGAUAUGACUUAGAACACCAAUUGCGAAGGCAGCUCACUAAACAGAUAUUGACGCUGAGGCACGAAAGCGUGGGGAGCGAACAGG
rnacentral:rRNA from 1 species